AAUGGGAGAAUGACAAAUCAAAUUUUUUCUCCUGAUUUUUAGCUUUUCCUCUUAAAAAAAUUCAAAUCCAACUAAAAAUACUAAAAAUUAGAAGAAAAAAAUCUGAUUUAUCAUUCUCCUAUU
rfam:Gossypium raimondii Chr02_contig_478, whole genome shotgun sequence.